AUUAUGUGUUCAGCACCAAGGACAGGUAUGUUUACCUGUGUGUGGAUGGUGUUUUGCACCAAUAACAGAUGUGUAAAGUA
rnacentral:pre_miRNA from 1 species